UACGUAGGAUGCGAGCGUUAAUCGGAAUUACUGGGCGUAAAGCGUGCGCAGGCGGUUCGCUGUGUCCGAUGUGAAAGCCCCGGGCUUAACCUGGGAAUGGCAUUGGAAACUGGCGGGCUUGAGUGUGGCAGAGGGGGGUGGAAUUCCGCGUGUAGCAGUGAAAUGCGUAGAGAUGCGGAGGAACACCGAUGGCGAAGGCAGCCCCCUGGGCUAACACUGACGCUCAUGCACGAAAGCGUGGGGAGCAAACAGG
rnacentral:rRNA from 1 species